GCAGGAAGAUGUGUUUGCAGGAGGAGGAGACAAGUCGCAAGAGCAACCAACCCUAUAUACCUGGCGACUGGAAGAGGAAGGAGAGAGAAAGAGAGAGAACGCGGAAGAAACAGCAGGAGGAAGAGAGAGACGGAGACCAAGGAGAGGCUCUCCUCUACGAGUAGAAACAUGGUCUGAGUUAUUAUCAAUGCCUGCAGCUAUGUGGCCGCAAGAAUUCAGAGUUGCUGCAGAAGCUGUUGCAAAAAUGAUGAAGGGAUGCUGAGGGAACCUUCCAUCCAACCAGAGGAAAAAGUUCCGCAAGUAGGUGGAUGACAACGUCAACCCAAAAUGGCCAAGCCUGCUGCCACGUGCAACUUUCCUAUUCAAGACCAGCCCAUUGGAACAUGAGGAUAAAGGACUGCAUGGGGUCCGCCCAUCACUGGAAGGACAUCCUGUGCUGCUCUUGAUUGAGAAAACUACAAUUUGGAAGUCAGCAUAGAUAGCAGCCCCAUCUACACUGCAUGAUAGGACCAUAUAAUGGUUUCAAACUACACUAUGUGGCAGUGUAGAUGGGGCCCGUGCUAGCUAAAGGCAUCUGAGAAUUGUAGUCAUGAAGUCAUAUUUCUCCCACAUAGAGAAAACUUGCUAAACCCUCUCUCGUCGUCAUAGGUAGCCAUGAAGACAAGUUCAGAAACUCCUCUUUGAAAGGAGAUGGAUGCGUUCGAUUUCCUUUGCCUAUGAGACCAAUAAAAGCAAGCACUGAAUUUAGAAAAUGCUGGAGUUCAAAGGUGUUCAUUAAAAGAGAUGUUGUUGUUCA